GGGUUGUGAGGUUAAGCGACCAAGCGUACACGGUGGAUGCCCUGGCAGUCAGAGGCGAUGAAGGACGUGCUAAUCUGCGAAAAGCGCCGGUAAGGUGAUAUGAACCGUUAUAACCGGCGAUGUCCGAAUGGGGAAACCCAGUGUGACUCGUCACACUAUCAUUAACUGAAUCCAUAGGUUAAUGAGGCGAACCGGGGGAACUGAAACAUCUAAGUACCCCGAGGAAAAGAAAUCAACCGAGAUUCCCCCAGUAGCGGCGAGCGAACGGGGAGGAGCCCAGAGCCUGAAUCAGCAUGUGUGUUAGUGGAAGCGUCUGGAAAGGCGCGCGAUACAGGGUGACAGCCCCGUACACAAAAGCGCAUGUGCUGUGAGCUCGAUGAGUAGGGCGGGACACGUGGUAUCCUGUCUGAAUAUGGGGGGACCAUCCUCCAAGGCUAAAUACUCCUGACUGACCGAUAGUGAACCAGUACCGUGAGGGAAAGGCGAAAAGAACCCCGGCGAGGGGAGUGAAACAGAACCUGAAACCGUGUACGUACAAGCAGUGGGAGCAUGAGUUUACUCAUGUGACUGCGUACCUUUUGUAUAAUGGGUCAGCGACUUAUAUUCUGUAGCAAGGUUAACCGAAUAGGGGAGCCGGAGGGAAACCGAGUCUUAA
rnacentral:rRNA from 1 species